rnacentral:tRNA from 1 species
GCCUGGCUGGCUCAGGGGAUAGAGCAUGUGACUCUUGAUCUGAGGGUCAUGAGUUCAAGCCCCAUGUUAGGCA